rnacentral:misc_RNA from 1 species
CAACCCUCAAGCACUGCUUGGUGUUGGGCGGUACCGCGCGCGGUACGCCUCAAACUCAGUGGCGGCGCCACCCGGCUUCAAGCGUAGUAACACUUCUCGCUUCGGACGCCGGGUGCGCUCCCGCCAGCAAGCCUCACUUCUCAA